rnacentral:lncRNA from 1 species
AAGUAAGUAUUCCAUCAUCACAUAAGAGUCAUGACUUUUCAAGUCAGAGAUAUUAUCAUCGUUGUUGCCAAUACACUGCGAUAUGUUUGAAGUGUAAGCAUCAGAAAAUUUUACAAUUUUGAACAAUCCACAGAAACUCUUCUUUUCCUUGCUAAAUAGCGAAUAACAUGCAGGUGGCAUAAAAAAUCUAUCACCUCGAUGAACUAAAUGCAACUCUGAUC